rnacentral:tRNA from 1 species
GACUAAUUAGCUCAGCCGGUAGAGCACAUCCCUUUUAAGGAUGGGGUCCUGGGUUCGAAUCCCAGAUUAGUCA